CCUACGGGGGGCAGUAGUGAGGAAUAUUGGUCAAUGGACGAGAGUCUGAACCAGCCAAGUAGCGUGAAGGAUGACUGCCCUAUGGGUUGUAAACUUCUUUUAUAUGGGAAUAAAAUGUUCCACGUGUGGGAUUUUGUAUGUACCAUAUGAAUAAGGAUCGGCUAACUCCGUGCCAGCAGCCGCGGUAAUACGGAGGAUCCGAGCGUUAUCCGGAUUUAUUGGGUUUAAAGGGAGCGUAGGUGGAUUGUUAAGUCAGUUGUGAAAGUUUGCGGCUCAACCGUAAAAUUGCAGUUGAAACUGGCAGUCUUGAGUACAGUAGAGGUGGGCGGAAUGUGUGGUGUAGCGGUGAAAUGCUUAGAUAUCACGAAGAACUCCGAUUGCGAAGGCAGUUCACUGGACUGCAACUGACACUGAGGCUCGAAAGUGUGGGUAUCAAACAGGAUUAGAUACCCGUGUAGUC
rnacentral:rRNA from 1 species